rnacentral:rRNA from 1 species
GACGAACGCUGGCGGCGUGCUUAACACAUGCAAGUCGAACGGAAAGGCCCUGCUUUUGUGGGGUUCUCGAGUGGCGAACGGGUGAGUAACACGUGAGUAACCUUCCCUUGACUUGGUGAUAACUUCAGGAAACUGGGGCUAAUACCGGAUAGGAGCGCCUGCUGCAUGGUGGGGGUUGGAAAGUUUCGGCGGUUGGGGAUGGACUGGCGGCUUAUCAGCUUGUUGGUGGGGUAGUGGCUUACCAAGGCUUUGACGGGUGGCCCGCCUGGGAGGGUGAACGGCGACCUUGGGACUGAGAGACGGACCAGUCUGCUACGGGAGGCAGCAGUGGGGAAUAUUGCACAAUGGGCGGAAGCCUGAUGCAGAAACGCCGCGUGCGGGAAGACGGCCUUCGGGUUGUAAACCGCUUUAGCCUGUGACGAAGCGUGAGUGACGGUAAUGGGUAAAGAAGCACCGGCUAACUACGUG